rnacentral:rRNA from 1 species
UACGGAGGGUGCAAGCGUUAUCCGGAUUCACUGGGUUUAAAGGGUGCGUAGGUGGGUUGGUAAGUCAGUGGUGAAAUCUCCGAGCUUAACUCGGAAACUGCCAUUGAUACUAUAGAUCUUGAAUCAUCUGGAGGUAAGCGGAAUAUGUCAUGUAGCGGUGAAAUGCUUAGAUAUGACAUAGAACACCAAUUGCGAAGGCAGCUUACUACGGGUGCAUUGACACUGAGGCACGAAAAGCGUGGGGGAUCAAAACAGG